rfam:Salmo salar isolate Sally breed double haploid chromosome ssa01, whole genome shotgun sequence.
ACAUUGGCUUUACUCAAAGCCAUUGGCAUGUCAUUAGAAAUUUUUU